CUCAAUACAACAGCCACGCGAAGCAGCUGUUGGCCGUCAUGACGCGGUGCAGGAUCACAGACGAGGCUUUCAAGCAUGCCCAGAUCUGCUUUGUUGUCACUUCUGCUCCGCUCAGGACACGAAUCCUUUCCAGCAGCAUGUCCUGAUGAAUCAGGAGGAGACACUAACGCGAGCUUCACUUUGAUUCAUGCACAAAACAGAUUUUACUUCUAAAUUGUCUGAAGUCAAAGGUUACUGAUCUACACUGAGACUUGAGACUAAUAAAAAUAAAUAAG
rnacentral:lncRNA from 1 species